AAGGACAUGUGGACAGUAUACGAGUGAGAAUGUUGGCAUGAGUAGCGAGACGUGGGUGAGAAUCCCACGGGCCGUAAACCCAAGGUUUCCAGGAGAAAGCUCGUCCGCCCUGGGUUAGUCGGGACCUAAGCCGAGGCCGAAAGGCGUAGGUGAUGGACAACAGGUUGAUAUUCCUGUACCGCCAAUAAGCGUUUGAGAGAUGGAGUGACACAGUAGGAUAAGCUAACCGUACUGUUGGUUAUGUACGGCUAAGCAUUGAGGCAGUCUAAAUAGGCAAAUCCGUUUAGACAAUGCUAGGAUGUGAUGGGGAAGCCCUUCGGGGCGAAGUAGCUGAUUUCACACUGUCAAGAAAAGCUUCUAUCGAGUUUAAAGGCGCCCGUACCGUAAACCGACACAGGUGGGUGAGGAGAGUAUCCUAAGGCCAGCGAGAGAACUAUUGUUAAGGAACUCGGCAAAAUGACCCCGUAACUUAGGGAGAAGGGGUGCCUGUCUAUGACAGGCCGCAGAGAAUAGGCCCAAGCGACUGUUUACCAAAAACACAGGUUUCUGCUAAGUCGCAAGACGAUGUAUAGGAGCUGACGCCUGCCCGGUGCUGGAAGGUUAAGGGGAUCUGUUAGAGCAAUCGAAGCAGUGAACUUAAGCCCCAGUAAACGGCGGCCGUAACAAUAACGGUCCUAAGGUAGCGAAAUUCCUUGUCGGGUAAGUUCCGACCCGCACGAAAGGCGUAACGAUUUGGGCACUGUCUCAACAAUAGACUCGGUGAAAUUGUAAUCCCGGUGAAGAUGCCGGGUACCUGCGACAGGACGGAAAGACCCCAUGGAGCUUUACUGUAGCUUGACGUUGGGUCUUGGUACUACAUGUACAGGAUAGGUGGGAGACUAUGAAGCAUGGACGCCAGUCUGUGUGGAGUCAUCCUUGGGAUACCACCCUUGUAGUACUGGGAUCCUAACCAUAGGCCUUGAAUCAGGUCUUGGAACACCGUCAGGUGGGCAGUUUGACUGGGGCGGUCGCCUCCUAAAAAGUAACGGAGGCGCUCAAAGGUUUCCUCAGCACGGUCGGAAAUCGUGCGAAGAGUGUAAAGGCAAAAGGAAGCUUGAUUGCAAGACAUACAGGUCGAGCAAGGACGAAAGUCGGACUUAGUGAUCCGGUGGUACCGCAUGGAAGGGCCAUCGCUCAACGGAUAAAAGCUACCCUGGGGAUAACAGGCUUAUCUCCCCCAAGAGUCCACAUCGACGGGGAGGUUUGGCACCUCGAUGUCGGCUCAUCACAUCCUGGGGCUGUAGUAGGUCCCAAGGGUUGGGCUGUUCGCCCAUUAAAGUGGUACGCGAGCUGGGUUCAGAACGUCGUGAGACAGUUCGGUCCCUAUCCGUCGCAGGCGUAGGAAAUUUGAGAAGACCUGUCCUUAGUACGAGAGGACCGGGAUGGACGUACCUCUGGUGUACCAGUUGUUCUGCCAAGGGCAUGGCUGGGUAGCUAUGUACGGAAUGGAUAAGCGCUGAAAGCAUCUAAGCGCGAAGCCAACUUCAAGAUAAGAUUUCCCACCGUAAGGGUAAGACCCCAGGAAGACUACCUGGUUGAUAGGUCGAAGGUGUAAGUGCAGUAAUGUAUUUAGCUUAUCGAUACUAAUAGGUCGAGGACUUGACC
rnacentral:rRNA from 1 species